CACGUAGGCGGAUGUGCCAGUCAGGGGUGAAAUCCCGGAGCUCAACUCCGGAACUGCCUCUGAUACAGCACGUCUUGAGUUCGAGAGAGGUGGGUGGAAUUCCUAGUGUAGAGGUGAAAUUCGUAGAUAUUAGGAAGAACACCGGUGGCGAAGGCGGCCCACUGGCUCGAUACUGACGCUGAGGUGCGAAAGCGUGGGAGCAAACA
rnacentral:rRNA from 1 species